rnacentral:tRNA from 1 species
GUUUUUACAGUGUAUGUUGCACAUAGUCCUUUCAAGACUAAGCUAACCAACAGUUUAAAAACA